UGCGGGAGAGUGGGGGCAGGAGUCUGGAGGUGUGUGCAGGAGAGCUGGAAUGCUUGUGAGGGUAGAAGAGGGGGUGAAGGGCCACCUGGAGCCUGAUCUUUGUCCUUUUGAGCACUCAGCCCAGGGUCUGAAUGGGCGCAGGUUCUGAGCAAUGUAAGGCAGGGUAGUAGUUGCAGAAAGAUAAUCCAGGAAGGAGGAGAAAGAGAGAAGACAGAAGUGGUUCUUGAAAUGAGCAGAGUUUGGGCCAGAAGAGAAGUGCUGGGCUGGGCUUCACUAUCAGCCCAGUCCAGCUGGGCCUCUUGGAGGCCACCAAGGGGCUGGUCCUGGGGAAGAAGGGCAAGGCUGUGCUGAGUGCCUGGGGCAGACGCCCACCGCUGACUGCCUUAGCAGGGGAAGGGCAGGUGAUGAAGCUGUCUUUGCACAAGUUCAUUUCCAUCCACAGCCAGGAUCCUUCUGGCCAACAGAGGAGACCUCAGGGCAGAGGGCCUGGUUUUGAGCUCCUUCCUCUGCCUGUGCUCCAAGCCCAGCCAGGAGGUACUGUGAGACCUAAGAACAACCUCAAGGAAAUGAAAAGGAAGUGAGGACAGCUCAACCCAAGUCACCUUGGUUCCUGGCUGAACCGCGGAAAGGCUUCUUGCCCCCCUGCCCCAAGAAUCACCCCCUCAGAUGAGCCUUCAGGGCCCACAGAGCCAGCUGGUGGCCCACAGAAUGGCAUUAGGCUGUGGUGACCACACAUGCACUGUGAAGGCAGCACCAGAUGUCACCUAAUUAAGAUAAACCCCAGGGAUCCUGGGAACCACGAGGUCCUGCCCCCAGAGUCUAGUGAUCAACACCUGACUCUUCUAGGUCUCCCAGGAAGCAGGAAAAUAUGAUGCUGGAAGCAGAAAGAUAAGACACCAUUAAUAGACAUAGACAG